AUUACAGAGUUGCAAAACUCCCUAAACCAUUGUGAACGUUACCUAAACCGUUGCUUCGGCGGGCGGCCCCGGGGUUUACCCCCCGGGCGCCCCUGGGCCCCACCGCGGGCGCCCGCCGGAGGUCACCAAACUCUUGAUAAUUUAUGGCCUCUCUGAGUCUUCUGUACUGAAUAAGUCAAAACUUUCAACAACGGAUCUCUUGGUUCUGGCAUCGAUGAAGAACGCAGCGAAAUGCGAUAAGUAAUGUGAAUUGCAGAAUUCAGUGAAUCAUCGAAUCUUUGAACGCACAUUGCGCCCGCCAGUAUUCUGGCGGGCAUGCCUGUUCGAGCGUCAUUUCAACCAUCAAGCCCCGGGCUUGUGUUGGGGACCUGCGGCUGCCGCAGGCCCUGAAAAGCAGUGGCGGGCUCGCUGUCACACCGAGCGUAGUAGCAUAUAUCUCGCUCUGGGCGUGCUGCGGGUUCCGGCCGUUAAACCACCUUUUAACCCAAGGUUGACCUCGGAUCAGGUAGGAAGACCCGCUGAACUUAAGCAUAUCAAUAAGCGGAGGAAAAGAAACCAACAGGGAUUGCCCUAGUAACGGCGAGUGAAGCGGCAACAGCUCAAAUUUGAAAUCUGGCUUCGGCCCGAGUUGUAAUUUGCAGAGGAAGCUUUAGGCGCGGCACCUUCUGAGUCCCCUGGAACGGGGCGCCAUAGAGGGUGAGAGCCCCGUAUAGUUGGAUGCCUAGCCUGUGUAAAGCUCCUUCGACGAGUCGAGUAGUUUGGGAAUGCUGCUCAAAAUGGGAGGUAAAUUUCUUCUAAAGCUAAAUACCGGCCAGAGACCGAUAGCGCACAAGUAGAGUGAUCGAAAGAUGAAAAGCACUUUGAAAAGAGGGUUAAAUAGCACGUGAAAUUGUUGAAAGGGAAGCGCUUGUGACCAGACUUGCGCCGGGCAGAUCAUCCGGU
rnacentral:rRNA from 1 species